ensembl:lncRNA
AUCGGCGAGUGACCAUCCAGGUGUGUCUGGCUCGGAUUCACAACCCCUUUGCUGUGCUGCACCGUAAGUCAAGGUGUGCUGAACAGACACCCUGCUGGCCCAUCUGAUGUGUCCACGCAUCUCUGCACACUUCAUGUGCCGGAAGCUUCUUAAGCACCUUUGGGGAGCAGAUCAAUUCUUCCUUCACAGCUUUCAGGCCUAGGUCCCACCAUCCAUGUUCCCUCAAAGUGGAAGAGCCGCUGGAAGGCAGUAUGACAGAAGCCUGAUUAGGAGUCAGAGCUGUCCUACCAGCAGAAAUCCCGAACCUGCCAAGAAACCAUGCCCUCUGACAGCAUGGAGCUGUCUCCCCACUCCAGGACUCCCACAUGUCCUUCCCCCUGUCCCCCAGGACAGCUCUUCAGAGAGUUCUGUCCUCUGGACCGAGCCGAGGAAACAGGCAUCAGGGACCAGACCAGUGCUGGGAAAGCGGGACGCAGCUGGCUCCCAGGAUUCAUGGGAAUGUUGGAUCUUUCACCUCUGCCGUCUUCUCUCCCUCCUUCUUCAAGCACUGAGGGGUUCUCAGGGAACAUGAGAGGGAAUCUGAGCAAGAGACAGACCUCAAGGGAAGCGGAGUUUUCUCGACAAUCAGGAAUAAUGGAAGUUGAAUCUUGGAUUAAUUGUCUGAAUCUUUUGAAAAAUUACUGUUUCAUUUACUCAUCUGAAAAUCAUGAAAUUCUACAUUCUCUUGAGGGUGUGAGUCAAAUAGGCAGAAUGAAGUGGGUCAAACUGUCUGGAUUUCUUGGGAAGAGAGGGCUGAGGAGGGCCUUCUUUCUGAAGACUCAGUUCCAUGGGGGGAGGGAGAACCCCAAUUUCACAG